CAGAGCAUAGUGUAGUUCGGUAACAUACCUGCUUUGGGAGCAGGCGUCAGAGGUUCAAAUCCUCUUGCUCUGA
rnacentral:tRNA from 1 species